UUGAUUUUAGCCACCAGGU
rnacentral:misc_RNA from 1 species